rnacentral:rRNA from 1 species
GACGAACGCUGGCGGCGUGCUUAACACAUGCAAGUCGAACGGAAAGGCCCUGCUUUUGUGGGGUUCUCGAUUGGCGAACGGGUGAGUAACACGUGAGUAACCUGCCCUUGACUUUGGGAUAACUUUAGGAAACUGGGGCUAAUACCGGAUAGGAUCUCCUGCUGCAUGGGGUGGGUUGGAAAGUGUCGGCGGUUGGGGAUGUACUCGCGGCUUAUCCGCUGGUUGGUGUGGUAGGUGCUUACCAGGGCUUUGACGGAUAGCCGGCCUGAGAGGGUGACCGGCCACAUUGGGCCUGAGAUACGGAGCAGAAGCGUAUGGGCGGCAGCAGUCGGGAAUCUUACACAACGGGCGGACGCCAGAUGCAGAAACGCCGCGUGCGGGAUGCCGGCCUUCGGGUUGUAAACCGAUUUCGAAUGUGACGAAGAGUGAGUGACGGUACUGGGUAAAGAAGCACCGGCUAACUACGUG